UUUCAUCUAGCAACCAUUUUCUGAUAUAAAUGUCCUUGUUAUCUACUAUUAUCUAAAAAUAAUCAAGUUAUUAAUGACUGGACGAAACCAAGAAAUAACCCCUUAUGUGCGAAAUUAUAGAAGAUCCCCUUUAAGAUCAAACAAUUCCAUCGAAUUGAGUAUGACUGUAUGUGUGAUAGCAUCUACUAUACCCCUAUAUUAGUAGAUGUUAAUGAAUUGAUAAGAGACUUGUACCAUCAAGCUAUUCGCAAGGGCCAACUUGAUCCUCUUCCCCAGGGAUCCCAGAUGAGGGAAGCCUAGGAGAGCCGCCGACUCCAACUAUCGUCCAUGUACGAUCCAUACUAGAUCUGACCAACUACCCAUCCUACCUCCUCUACCUUUUUGACAGCCCAUUUUUUUUGUCUCAGUAGAGUCUUUCAGUGGCAUGUUUCAGUCCUCUUCCCCAUUACUUAGAAAAAGUGAGCCACCGGUUCAGGUACAAGUUACUAUCAUUACCGCCUGGACAAUUAGACAGCCAACCCGUAAUCGCAACGACCCAAUUGCAAGAGCGGAGCCUCAUUUCAGGAACAGGACAAAAAGUGCACAAAAGGUGUACUGUGUCAUCUUUGUAAAUAACACAGGAUUUGUGUGCGGGUGUGUUGGGUGGGUGAGUGGGGGGCUAAUCAUGCAUACUCGCUGAUAGUUGGAUUGAGAGUGUUGCCUUACUCUCCUUAUAUAAUUUUCGCUACAAUACCUCCUUAGUGCCAUUUGCAAAGGUUUUUUUUGAGGGAGUUGCUUAAGUUUUUCAGUUGGCUGGUGUACCGGUUUGAUAGUUGAAUUGAUGUAGCUUCACGAUGUGACAGGAGAGAGGUAGCAAGAGGAGGGUAGAUUAUUGAAUUGUACACUCUGCACUUCUUUUAUUGAUAAACUGCACAUCUUUGAUAAACUGGUGGCAUUCAGGUGGACACAAAUGGUAGGGGAGCGCUUGAUUAUGGGGAAUUUUUGGCGGUCUCUCUUCAUUUGCAAAGGAUGGCAGAUGACGAGCACCUUCGGCGGGCCUUCCUAUUUUUUGACAAGGAUGGCAAUGGCUUCAUUGAGCCUGAGGAGCUUCGAGAGGCUCUAGUGGACGAUGGAGCAGCUGAUAGCAUGGAAGUGGUGAAUGACAUAUUGCAAGAAGUUGACACUGAUAAGGUCAUUGUACUCUCAUAUCUAAUACAACUGUUAUUUUGGUUCUCCGUUCAUCUGAAUGAAUAUCUUCUCUAUUUACAUCUGCAGGAUGGCAAGAUUAGCUAUGACGAAUUUGUAGCGAUGAUGAAGACCGGUACAGAUUGGAGAAAGGCGUCCCGGCACUAUUCAAGAGGAAGGUUUAAUAGCCUUAGCAUGAAGCUUAUAAAGGAUGGUUCGGUAAAAUUGGGUGUUGAGUGAAAACAGCGACCUGCAUCCAUAUGUGUGCAUGUAGUUAGGCCCUUGGCUCCACUAAGCAGAAGUUCUUUGGCCCCCUUUUCUUUUCUCAUGAUUAUCUUGCGUGGAAAUUUAGAUAGGUGAACCCUCUGAUUGGCUUACCUGUGUAAUUAGCUCUCCUGGUUUCGCUGACAAGCACGCACUGAGCCGAAUGUACCAAAUGCUGUGCGCCUGCUUUUCUCCAGUUUGAUCCUGUGGCACCUGAUGCCAAGUGUUGUACAACACAAUGUGUUUACAGUCUUGAAAUGCAGUUUGUUGACCUAGCGUGAUGGCAGUGGCAAAGUUCAUUAUAUCUGGUUUGUAUCGGCAGAUGCCGAAUGUGCUAGACUGCAAGUGAGUGGUAGCCUGCCUCCUGCCUGCAAUGUGAUGCCGAAAUAUAAGAUAUGAUGCAAUUGUUCACCUAGUACACUGGGUGGGUGGUGCAACGCAGACAAUAUCGGAUGCUGCUCUAUCUGCCUGCCAAGCAAAUUGCUCUCACCCUGAUGCUUUCGUGACCGAGAAGCCGGGUGACCUCGAUGGUGCCAGCAUUCCGCCACGUGAUAUGCAUCAUGCUGAACGCUGGAGUGCACAAAGCCAGAACCACGAACCCCUGGCCGCAUCAGCCGUGGAGCAUAAUAUGGUAAGGCUAAUGUGGCCGAAUUCCCGGCGGGAACAAGAUUAAGCCGGGAAGCACACGGCUCCAUUUGACAGGCAUCCGCACCUCCGCAGGUGAGGUGAAAAAAAAAAUCCGUUCUUGUCACCAAUGGCCGAAUAAAUCCGUGUGCGCCGCUCACUGCUUUCCGUCCGCCCGCCUCGGGAUAACAUUCAUUUCAUGUGCUGCUUGCUCUUCGCUAAUCCCCCCAACUAAACCGGACCUGAUGAGCUGCCGUGCCGUGCCACGCCGCUGUGUUGGCAGGCUAUUGGCUGCCUACUCGAACCGCACCGUGCCAACUAUCGUGGAACAUCUGCGCCAACACGAGUAGUAUUAUCUACUACCGCCGUCGUCAAAAAGUGGCCGAGACUUGUGUGACGAGGUGCGCGAUUCUACGAGCACGCCGGCACGCACGUCAGGUUCAGAGUGGCAUGGUCAGCCAUGUAAAAGUUGACCCAGGUUGAAGUCACUCGCCACUGCCACUAGUACCUCAUCCGCCACUCGCUCCUCCUCGCCCGUCAGCACUGCGCAGACAGCGCGACGUGCGGCGCUGGCCCCACUGCCCCGCGCGCCGGCCGACGUCACAUCUCAGAGGAAGGGGGGAAGCAAAGCGCGAGGCCGCAACGCAAACGUGCGCCGGGAGCCUGGCCGGACGAGCUGGAGCCUGUCGGCGAGGCGACGCAGUUGGCUGGCGCUGGCAGCGACCGGCCCACUGGCACUGGCCUGUCCGUCCGGUCUGCGCGAGGAGGCGGGUGCGCGGCGCGCCGCCAAAACGCGCGGCCCCCAACCCCAAAGGCAAAGGAUUGCCAGUGGCCGGGGGUGGCUGUCGGCAGCAAAAUUCCGUUCCCACCGGGGCUCUUGCGGCGGCGCGCGUUGCGGCGCUGCGCCUAUUGGCUGGCUCCGGCUCACAUACUCGUUGCUGCCGCGCCGGCGCCGCCACUAGCUCUGCCGCAUUGCAUAUGCCACCGGCGGACGCCGCUUUCUUUCUCGCGAGCGGCCACAGGCCACGCGGCCCUGCGCUGCGCCGUCCGCUGCGUCCCGCUUUGCUCCGGACUGUGCGUGUAUAUGUGUGUAUAUAUAUGUAUAUAUAUAUAUAUGUAUGUAUAUUAUAUAUAUAUAUGUAUAUAUAAAAAUAAAGAUGCAUUCGCGGAUGCGACGGUACAUGAAUGGGGUAGGGCCGGACCGGAGCCGAACGGGAUGGAUGCUAGCUAAUUAAUCAAUCGAGGACAAAGACAUCAUCAUCAGAGGCCCCCAGUUCAAUGCGGCUGGGUUCCGGACUGGACGGCAAUGGCACGCCAUGUGGCCGCCGAUCUCAUCUCCGGAUCCUUCCGCGGCGCCGGCGAUGUCUAUCUGCAAGGCAGUACGCACGAGGUGAAUUGUCUGUCCCAUGCCCUACUUUGCUCUGCUCUCCGGCAGGCCGCACGCACCGUAGCAUGCCAUGCCGCUGCCCGCUGGUACAAACUGAGAUCACUGUCGCUUGCUCGGACGCUGGCAGGGAAUCUUGCCGAUCAUGCAACGAUAGAUAUGCCAGGAUUUCUCUUCAUCGGAGCAGCUUCGAUCUUCUGGUAUCGGGCAAACUCAUCAGGUUGCCGACGACUUGUUUUUGUCUCUUAGCAAUAUUUUACAAUUGCGGCGGGCUAACGGUAUACAAGGCCAGUCUCACUGCACAAUUUCAUGGCACAGUUACUAAGGCUGAGAACUUAACUGUGCUUGCUGGAUUUCAUGGUGAUGAAACUCCCUCUCAUCUCUCCUCAUAAUGACCUUGCCACGUAAGCAAAAAUUGCUAAUGCAGCAUUGAUAUUUAAUGAUUAUGAAAUUUUUGAUGAAACUCUAAAAAUCAGGCUAUGAAUUAGACCAGGCAACUAUAGAUUUCCAGAUGGGCCAGGCCCAUUGGACAGCCCGAGACCCGACACUAAAAAGCACGGCACGAGCACAGGCCCGGCACGAGGUGAAUAGUGGCAGGGCCAGCCCAGCACCAUGAUAGUGCCGGGUCUAGGCCGCAUCCUCGGCACGUUGGGCUAGCACGAGCCCAGCACAAUUUUUAAGCUCGCCCGAUGCCAGCCUGAUACCCUAGCAACCCUCUCCAACCGUUAGAUGAGCAUACGCUCCCCUCCCCACCGUUGGACGAGCAACCCACGCCACCACGGCUGCCCCUCGACCCUUCCCCCGGCUCCCCUCACGCCUCCAUCGGGGGCUGUCCGCCGUCGCUACCUGGAGGGGCGUCCACCGGUGCUGGGGUCGCCGCGGCCGCGAGGCGCUCCUGCCGUUGCUGGGGGCCACCAUCGCCGGGGCACCCCUCCACCACCGCCACCCCU
rnacentral:lncRNA from 1 species